GCUCAAAUAACUCAAUUGGUAGAGUCCACUAUUGAAGCUAGUGUUGUUGUAGGUUCAAAUCCUGCUUUGAGCA